rnacentral:rRNA from 1 species
AUGACUCAUAUUGAUGUUCCCAUUGAUAACAAAAAAUUAUGGAAGCUAAAAAUUCCUCUAAGAGUGAAGACAUUCCUAUGAUUUUUAAGCAGAGGAGUCAUCUUAACUAGAGAUAAUCUGGCACGACGUAACUGGCAAGGUAGUAAGACAUGUGUCUUUUGCCAACAUGAUGAGUCUAUUAAACAUUUGUUUUUUGAGUGUAAGUUCACUCGUGCAGUCAGGGCCAUAGUUCAAGUAGCUUCGAAUCUAUACCUCCCACGUAGUGCACGUAACAUGCUCGGCAAUUGGUUACGUGCACUACGUGGGAGGUAUGGAUUCGAAGCCACCUGCCACCAAUCCAUCUUCAGUACUGUACUGCUGCAUCUACCAUGCCCGGUCUAG